rnacentral:lncRNA from 1 species
UCAGUUGUUCAAUUUCUAUAGAAUUGAAUGCAUACUGCAAUUUCAAAGGUUAUCCAGGCAAUCCACAGAUUUAUAGAUAUACAUAUCAAUAUAAAGAUUACGUGACACAAGCGAAUCAAAGACAAGUUCUUCUUUCAAAAAUGAUAUCAUGUUUUCUAUUAUUAAAAUACUUGUGUUGGUAAAUACAUAAAAAAAAACAUGGACAUUAAAUAUGACUUAUCAGUGUAAUACAUUACUAGUAACCUGGCUUUGUUUCCUUGUUAUGUAGGACAUUAAACAUGUAUUUUCUUGGAAAUAAGUGGGGGAAAGAACAAUGUUUUUAUUUACAAACUGGAUCGUAUCCUGUUCUUUGUUAGAUAUUUGUUUGACAACUGAACUCCAUUAAACAUAUAAUAUGAUAUUUAAUCCUACAAAAGAGCAGAAAACAGCUCAAGGCCACCAAUGGGUCUUCGUCGCAGCGAGAAAAUCCCACAUCCGGAGGCUGACUUUAGCUGGUCCGUUCUUUCAAUCUAAU